rnacentral:tRNA from 1 species
UUCAGAGUGAACUCUGUAGUAGAGCACUUGCCUAGCAAGCAUCAGGCCCUGGGUUCAAUUCCCAGCACUAGAA